rnacentral:rRNA from 1 species
UUCCGGGUUGAUCCCGCGGACCCGACUGCUAUCGGAUUGAGAUUUAGCCAUGCGAGUCGAACGUCCCCCUGUUGCGGGGGGCGUGGCGUACGGCUCAGUAACACGUAGUCAACCUGCCCUGGAGACAAGGACAACCCCGGGAAACUGGGAUUAAUCCUUGAUAGGUCAUCUCAUCUGGAAGGAGAGAUGGCUUAAAGGGGUACGCGGGCUUCUUCCGCGAAUUCGCUCCAGGAUGGGACUGCGUCCGAUCAGGCUGUUGGCGGGGUAAUGGCCCACCAAACCUGUAACCGGUACGGGCCUUGAGAGAGGUGGCCCGGAGAUGGACACUGAGAGAAGGGUCCAGGUCCUACGGGGCGCAGCAGGCGCGAAACCUUCGCAAUGCGCGAAAGCGUGACGAGGUUAAUCCGAGUGACUCCCGCUUAGGGGGUCUUUUGUCAGCUGUAAAUAGGCAGGCGAAUAAGGGGAGGGCAAGCCUGGUGUCAGCCGCCGCGGUAAUACCAGCUCCUCGAGUGGUCGGGGCGAUUAUUGGGCCUAAAGCAUCCGUAGCCGGUUCCGUAGGUCCUCUGUUAAAUCCAACCGCUUAACGGUUGACCUGCAGAGGAUACCGCGGGACUAGGAGGCGGGAGAGGCGGACGGUACUCCGCGUGUAGGGGUAAAAUCCUUUGAUCCGCGGAAGACCACCAGUGGCGAAGGCGGUCCGCCAGAACGCGCUCGACGGUGAGGGAUGAAAGCUGGGGGAGCGAACCGGAUUAGAUACCCGGGUAGUCCCAGCCGUAAACGAUGCUAGCUAGAUGAUUCAUUCGCAAGUCGCGAAUGAAGUGUCGCAGGGAAGCCGCUAAGCUAGCCGCCUGGGGAGUACGGUCGCAAGACUGAAACUUAAAGGAUUGGCGGGGGAGCA